rnacentral:rRNA from 1 species
UUAUAAAAAGUUUAUAGCUUAAAUUAUUUUUAAUAAUAAUAAAUAAAUAAAUUUAAAAAUUUCACCUAAUAAAUUUAAAUUUAUAUUAUAAAUUUAAUCAUUUAACUAAUACUAAAAAUUUUUAUUUGUAUUAUUUGUAUAACCGCGGUAGCUGGCACAAAUUUUACCAAUACUAUAUAUUAUUACUAAUACAAAAUUUCUUUUUUAAUUAAUAUUAAUUACUGCGAAUAAAUAUUUAUAAAUUUAAUUUUUUAAAAAUUAAUUUAAUUCAUACAAAAAUUUACAUGUAAAAUAAAAUAAUAACAAAAAUAUUAACUAAAAUAAAAUAAUAAUUUUAU